rnacentral:rRNA from 1 species
AGAGUUUGAUCCUGGCUCAGAUUGAACGCUGGCGGAAUGCUUUACACAUGCAAGUCGAACGGCAGCACGGGAGCUUGCCCCUGGUGGCGAGUGGCGAACGGGUGAGUAAUAUAUCGGAACAUAUCCUAUCGUGGGGGAUAACUAGUCGAAAGACUAGCUAAUACCGCAUACGUCCUGAGGGAGAAAGCGGGGGCUCGCAAGACCUCGCGCGAUUGGAGUGGCCGAUAUCUGACUAGCUAGAUGGUGAGGUAAAGGCUCACCAUGGCUUCGAUCAGUAGCUGGUCUGAGAGGAUGAUCAGCCACACUGGGACUGAGACACGGCCCAGACUCCUACGGGAGGCAGCAGUGGGGAAUUUUGGACAAUGGGCGAAAGCCUGAUCCAGCCAUUCCGCGUGAGUGAAGAAGGCCUUCGGGUUGUAAAGCUCUUUCGGCAGGAACGAAACGGCGGAUAUUAAUACUAUCCGUUACUGACGGUACCUGAAGAAGAAGCACCGGCUAACUACGUGCCAGCAGCCGCGGUAAUAC